GAUGAACGCUGGCGGCGUGCCUAAUACAUGCAAGUCGAGCGAACGGACGAGAAGCUUGCUUCUCUGAUGUUAGCGGCGGACGGGUGAGUAACACGUGGAUAACCUACCUAUAAGACUGGGAUAACUUCGGGAAACCGGAGCUAAUACCGGAUAAUAUUUUGAUCCGCAUGGUUCAAAAGUGAAAGUCGGUCUUGCUGUCACUUAUCGAUGGAUCCGCGCUGCAUUAGCUAGUUGGUAAGGUAACGGCUUACCAAGGCAACGAUGCAUAGCCGACCUGAGAGGGUGAUCGGCCACACGGGAACUGAGACACGGUCCAGACUCCUGCGGGAGGCAGCAGUAGGGAAUCUUCCGCAGUGGGCGAAAGCCUGACGGAGCAACGCGGCGUGAGUGAUGAAGGUCUUCGGAUCGUAAAACUCGGUUAUUAGGGAAGAGCCGAUGUGUAAGUAACUGUGCACAUCUUGACGGUACCUGAUCAGAAAGCAACGGCUAACUACGUG
rnacentral:rRNA from 1 species